GGCUGCCGAAAUCAGGGAUCCACAAAAGGGAGCACGCGUGUGGCUUGGGACAUUUGAGACAGCUGAAGCUGCGGCCAUAGCUUAUGAUGAAGCAGCUCUUAAGUUCAAAGGAAGCAAAGCCAAACUUAACUUCCCUGAGAGAGCUCAACUAGCAAGUAACAGUAAUAGUACUAUUACUGGUCUACCAAACUAUUUCUCUUCUAACAAUCAAGUUUACUACUCCAAUCCACAACCCACACCAUAUGAUAACCAGUACUACUAUAACCAAUAUCUUCAGCAAGGGGGAUAUAGUAACGAUGCAUUAAGUUAUGAUAUGGCCGGUGGGGAAACCGGAGGCUUAAUGUAUAAUCAUCAGACAUUAUCUACUACAAC
rnacentral:lncRNA from 1 species